UACAGAGGUCUCAAGCGUUGUUCGGAUUCAUUGGGCGUAAAGGGUGCGUAGGUGGCGCUGUAAGUCGGGUGUGAAAUCUCGGAGCUUAACUCCGAAACUGCAUUCGAUACUGCCGUGCUUGAGGACUGGAGAGGAGACUGGAAUUACGGUGUAGCGGUGAAAUGCGUAGAUAUCGUAAGGAAGACCAGUGGCGAAGGCGGGUCUCGUGGACAGUUCCUGACGCUGAGGCACGAAGGCCAGGGGAGCAAACGGG
rnacentral:rRNA from 1 species